rnacentral:rRNA from 1 species
ACUGAAGUAUAGAGGGUGAAUUCUGCCCAAUGGUUGUAUAGUGAAACUGAGGACUAACGUCUAAGGCGAAACCCAACUGAAUGGCCGCGGUAACUCUGACCGUGAUAAUGUAGCACAAUAAAUAGCCAAUUAAUUGUUGGCGGGUAUGAAUGGAACCACGAGGGUCUUACUGUCUCAAGAGGAAAGCCAAUGAAAUUAUAGUUGUAGUGAAGAUACUACAUAAACAUUGUAAGACGAAAAGACCCUAUCGAGCUUUACUGGAUACCGAUAGCGUUAACUUAGAAUGAUCGAUACUAAGUAUCCUAAUCCUAAGUUAAUAAUUUUUGUCGGUAAGACAGUUUAGUUGGGGCGACUACCUUUGAAUAAGAAACGAAGGCGAGCUUAUGGUAUUAUUAAAAUCUCAUUAGCCUCACAGUGAGGGGGACAUCCCUAGCUGGCACAAGGAGUUCCACACAGUACUUAGACAUAGUACGUACAUAGUGGAUUCCUAUGUGGGCGAUAAUGACCCGAUAUGAUUAUCCAAAAUAAAUAUCGAAAGCGGAUAAAAGCUACCGUAGGGAUAACAGCGUAAUAUUGUCGGAGAGUUCUUAUCGAGGACAGUGUUUGCGACCUCGAUGUUGAAUUGCGGUGCCCUGGUGCUGUAGAAGGUACCUUAGGUUGGUCUGUUCGACCA